rnacentral:rRNA from 1 species
UACGUAGGGGGCAAGCGUUGUCCGGAAUCAUUGGGCGUAAAGAGCGUGUAGGCGGUUCGGUACGUCGGCUGUGAAAGUCCAGGGCUCAACCCUGGGAUGCCGGUCGAUACUGCCGGACUAGAGUUCGGAAGAGGCGAGUGGAAUUCCCGGUGUAGCGGUGAAAUGCGCAGAUAUCGGGAGGAACACCUAUGGCGAAGGCAGCUCGCUGGGACGUUACUGACGCUGAGACGCGAAAGCGUGGGGAGCAAACAGG